AAAAGAACCCAAACGAAUCUUCAUGACUAAAGGAGUUUUUGUUGUUUUCAUUUUAAAAGUAGCCUCCAUCAUGUGACAAACAGUCAUCAAUCACCACAAUGACAAGACAAAAAUCUUGAACUUCCUUUUACUUCUUACUGGCAACAAAACAUCUGUGGCAUUGCAUUCUGUCACAAACAGGGUCCUGUGGCCAUCACAGCACAUCGAGCACAGUUCUGAGACCUAAAGAAAAUUUAGGUUGGAAAAGAAUAUUAAGAGCUGUUUUCUUUAUGGAGUGCCAUUGGUGUAAAAAUUGGAUGCACUUGACUAAACGAGAUAAAAAACGUGCUGGCAAAGCAAGCCAUGCUUCUACUUCGAAAAAUUUUGAAUAAGUAUGUUACAAUGUUUAUUAUGAAUUAGUCAGUGCCAUAGUACCUUCAAUUAAGUAUGAGUUUACUUUAAAGUUGUAAAGCACAAAAUGGAAAACUUACGCUAAAUUCCAGGUAAAACCACGCGACAUCAGGAGUGUAAUUUUAACAAGAACUUAAUGACGCAGGUAUUCUCCGUGGAUGCUAAACCAGAAAUGCCAUGGCCAUGUCUUGAAAAUAUGCAGCAGUGGCUCCAUCUACUUUGAAACCCAACUUAAAAUCCUCUCACUUCUCCAUAAAAGAAGUAAGUCCGACUGUUUUGUAAAUUGUAUUGUUUUUUUGUAAUUGUUGUUGAAUUUUGAAUCCAAAUCAUGUAAAUUUUUUACACAAAACGUGUUAUUGAAAAAAAAAAAAACUAUUUUCCUGUCAGAAUUCCGCUAGAUGGUGAUGCCAGUGACAGUACUUUUCAAAACAAUGGGCAAAAUUGAGUUAGUCAUACAGUUCGUCUGCUUCAGAAAUAGUUAAUUUGCUUGGUAGAAUCUAUUGCAACGAAAUAUUUCGUUGCAAUUGCAAUAAGAGACUUUUUCCCUAUUUGUUUUUUUGCGGUGGGCCACUUUGCCCGGCUACCGAUGCCCGUGAGGCAUAUUUUUAGCCAAAAGUCGGAUUUGACCGUAAGUCUCUUAUUGCAACGAAAUAUUUCGUUGCAAUAGAUUCUACCUUGCCACUAUGGAUUGGAGUGGUGUUGUACCCCAUCACUGAACCUGAAUAGCAUCAAGAAAGAGUGAGACUGGAUUUCUCAGUGAAUGUAGAGAAUUUGUUUAACUGACCAUUAUUCCCCAAGUGUAGUAGAACAGACAGCAUCGAUUGAUUACCUAAACAUAAACACACACAAAAAUCAGCAUCCCAUGAAAUUAAUAAAAAAUAUAUUACAAUACUACCACA